AAUGAGGAAUUUCUAUGAAAUUGGGUUCUCACUAAUUAUACGGAAAGAGUGUUUCCGGAAUUCUGCCAAAUUGCCAAUUCCCUGAAUCCACUGAUUCAGUGGAUACAUUGACCUGUAGAUUUGUGUGUGUGGUGUGGUGUUUGCAUUAUGUAGACCAAAUGGCAAUACAUUUCAAUUCAUUGUUUGAAUGAACACAGACGAAUUUAAUUCAUUACAUUUGCGUGAUAACUGUAAAUUUGUCCCUUUGAUGCAAUUUCAUUUGGUUUAUGGAUUGUUGUUGAUGGUGUGUAGAUCCGUGUGCGUAAUGAUCCCGUUAGUUUAUCGACAGCCAACAUACAGUCAAACUCGCACGACUAGUGGCAAAUAUUUACAUUUGUUUAUUGCCGUUCAGUUACAAUUAUGGUUAAGUCUGGCUAAAUUGAUUUACACAGAUACCACCCUAAUGAUAAGUAGUUAGUGGGAAGACAGCUAAAUUGCAAUUGUUUACGCACGAUAUCGAUUGCGAUUUGCUGGAACGUGGUAUUAGCAUUUUCGUAAAUGUCUUCAUCUGCCAAAUAGACAUUGAAGUUUUCUGUGAAUAACGAUGCAACAUAUUUCCACAUUUCCGAUAAAAAGCAAUUUAAUUUUGAGGUUGAAGUAUGGCAACUUAUGAGAAAUAAAAUUAAUGUAGAAAUUGAUACUUAAAAUGGCCAAAUUAAGUUAGUGAUGAACAAUGGAACAUGUAAAUAUAUGGCAAAAUUUUGGUUGUAAAUACUUUAGAGAUCACGUUGAGAUUAUCAGUUUCUGGGAAAGUUUUGCACAUUGAAUUUUAUUAUACCACAUUAAUCACUAUUUGAGUAAAUUGUGGUAAUAAACGUGACGCAAGUUAGUUACACUGAAUUAGUCAGUGUCAUCGUGUGUUGCAUAUUUGCAUAUGUACAAACAUACACAUGCAAAGUUGUUAUCCAGCCGCUAACAUCCUGUCCUCGUUAAACCACUGUUUAAAUUACGACGCAGUGUUUUAAACAUGUUGAAAUUUGGCUUCCGAUGAAACUGGGAAAACAACAACAAUUGUCAGCAAAAAUGCAUUCAUCAGUCAUAACAGAAAUGAUGGAAUUACGAUUAAAUUAAGAUAUUUGAUAAUGUGUAUGAUUCGGCUAUAUUUAUAAUGAUGGAUAGCAUUAGGAUUAACUAGAAUAAAAUGGGAAUUUCGGCACAUUCGAGUAUCUCGAUUUUACAUGAAAAAUUAUAAUCCGCUAGAUAUGGAAAAGAACUAUGUAAUCCAAUAAAACUCAUACGUCCCACGCAUGUACAUACAUAGAUACGUGCUUAUGUAACUUGUUGAUAUGCACAUUAUGAAUUCAAACCUAGGAAAGUUCUUGUUUCAUUCGGUUAUACAGUAAAAUAAAUAUUGGCAGUACUAAUGGCGCAAAUUACAGGACGAACUGGACAAAAGAGGGGAAAUGUACCUUUAAAAAAUUGGACUAACAAAUCAGGCCAUCCAAUUUCGCAUUAGUGCGUAUUACACUUUACAAACUAGCAGUAAUAAGUACACGUGUGGCGUGUGUACUCAUUUUCAAUGGGUACAGCGUGUAUCUAAACAAUGAAAUUAUUUUUUUGUGUCCAGAAUUUUAUGAAAGGGGAUCCUCUCGUUGAUUUAUGUUAACUUUGUCAUACAGAUGUCCAAAAAAGUCAGAAUGAGUCCAGAUUCUCAUCCAAACGUUCUCAAUUGAACACGCAAUUCCUUUAAGAAACACGCCCAACUUUUUGGCGUUCUAGAAUUUUUGCCUGAAGCGAAAUUGUAAAUUCUAACUCUGGUUUAAGAUUUAUUUAGCCUAUGAAUUUUAGAGUACACCACUUUCCAUGGUCAUAAUCCUCCUCCAUAAGCAAUGCAUACCAACAAGUCAUUGGUGGGAGAUAGGCGUUUAUCAUAUUCUCAUAUUUUAGUAGUACAUACGAUCGCACACCUAGAUAUAUAUUUGCACUGACAUAUUUGCACAAUUAUAUUAGAGCUGGAUGUGGGAGGGGUGUCGACAAAUUAAGGCUUAUGAAACCUAAUAUCGCCGGUCUAUGUUUUCAGUGAUUGCAUUACUUAAAUAAUCUGGAUUGUUUAGCAUUAGGCCAUCAUCUCAUUAUCGCUAAUUGUAUACUAUUUCAGUUAUAUAAUGACAUUGAGUUGUAAAACUGUCCGCAUCAAGUUGUGUAAUGCGCAAUUAAAAAAUUUGUUAUUAGAUUGACUUUGUUUUAUCUUUUCAUCAAUUUUAUCCUUCUCAAAAUUUUGCUGAGAAUUUUCCAUCGGCUUUUUUCUUGCACUUUACGAGUUGAUAAUUGUGCAAAGUAUUAAUGUUUUUAUGACAAUAAGUGUUGUUAUAAAUUCAAGGGCAGGAUAGGGAUUAUUUAAUUUACUAAAUUACAUAUAUGCAAAUAAUUACUGCUGAUGACUUUUGUCCAAUCUUCGUUUUAUACAUUUCUUGUCGGAUUGAUACAUAAGAAUUCACAAAAAAGUCUAAAUUAACAUGCAUCCCCAAAGAAUCAACCAUUUCUGAAACGAAUUCAUUCCAAUAUGCUGGCAGGCUCCAUUUAGCAACAAGUCACACUUGAUAAUUUCUGCAAAGGAUGAGACGCUGGCUUCGUUUGUAAAUUGUUGAAUGCCAUUGUUGAAUUUGUUGAUGCCUCAUCCAUCCGUCCUUCGCAUCCGUAACGGAGUUUAAAGCUGAAUCAGGGUAUCUGCCUGCUCCUCAGUGUAAAACCAGAUACGGUGGCUAAAAAUAUACCAUUGUUCACUUGAAAUAUGUUCACUCAAGCAGAAUCCUGCAUCACAUAUUGGAAAUGCGAAUGCAUGUAUCGGGAUUAAAGAAGGAGUUAAAUCAACAACCUGAUAAAAAAUUUAAAUUAUUCAAUGCCGUCAUUUUGUCAUUGUUAAUUGCGCUUCAAUUUGUAAUCCAAUUGAAUCAUUUUCAAAAUAAACGUUUACAAAAUUAG